rnacentral:rRNA from 1 species
GACGAACGCUGGCGGCGUGCCUAAUACAUGCAAGUUGAGCGCUGAAGGUUGGUACUUGUACCGACUGGAUGAGCAGCGAACGGGUGAGUAACGCGUGGGGAAUCUGCCUUUGAGCGGGGGACAACAUUUGGAAACGAAUGCUAAUACCGCAUAAAAACUUUAAACACAAGUUUUAAGUUUGAAAGAUGCAAUUGCAUCACUCAAAGAUGAUCCCGCGUUGUAUUAGCUAGUUGGUGAGGUAAAGGCUCACCAAGGCGAUGAUACAUAGCCGACCUGAGAGGGUGAUCGGCCACAUUGGGACUGAGACACGGCCCAAACUCCUACGGGAGGCAGCAGUAGGGAAUCUUCGGCAAUGGACGAAAGUCUGACCGAGCAACGCCGCGUGAGUGAAGUAGGUUUUCGGAUCGUAAAACUCUUUUGGUAGAGAAGAACGUUGGUGAGAGUGGAAAGCUCAUCAAGUGACGGUAACUACCCAGAAAGGGACGGCUAACUACGUG